AACUUUCAGCAACGGAUCUCUUGGCUCUCGAAUCGAUGAAGAACGCAGCGAAAUGCGAUAAGUAAUGUGAAUUGCAGAAUUCAGUGAAUCAUCGAAUCUUUGAACGCACCUUGCGCCCUUUGGCUAUUCUGAAGGGCAUGCCUUUUUGAGCAUCAUAAACAUCUCAACUCUCACGGUUUCUUGUGAUGAGAUUGGUCUUUGGGGGUCUUGUUGGCUUGUGUUCAGGUCCCCUCAACUCUAUCGGCUUCCCAGUGUUUUGCAGCAUCACAGGUGUGAUAAAUAUCUGCGCUUGUGGUUCUUUGCCAGGUCUGUCCUCUUCUUGCAGAGGGCUCGCUGGAGCUCAUACAUGUCUCUCCUUGGUGGAGACAGCUGUUUGAAGUUUGGUCUCAAAUCAGGUAGGAUUACCCGCUGAACUUAAGCAUAUCAAUAAGCGGAGGCU
rnacentral:misc_RNA from 1 species